rnacentral:rRNA from 1 species
GUGGGGAAUAUUGCACAAUGGGCGCAAGCCUGAUGCAGCCAUGCCGCGUGUAUGAAGAAGGCCUUCGGGUUGUAAAGUACUUUCAGCGAGGAGGAAGGCAUUAAGGUUAAUAACCUUAGUGAUUGACGUUACUCGCAGAAGAAGCACCGGCUAACUCCGUGCCAGCAGCCGCGGUAAUACGGAGGGUGCAAGCGUUAAUCGGAAUUACUGGGCGUAAAGCGCACGCAGGCGGUCUGUUAAGUCAGAUGUGAAAUCCCCGGGCUCAACCUGGGAACUGCAUUUGAAACUGGCAGGCUUGAGUCUUGUAGAGGGGGGUAGAAUUCCAGGUGUAGCGGUGAAAUGCGUAGAGAUCUGGAGGAAUACCGGUGGCGAAGGCGGCCCCCUGGACAAAGACUGACGCUCAGGUGCGAAAGCGUGGGGAGCAAACAGGAUUAGAUACCCUAGUAGUCC